CAACAGUUAAACGGGUUAAACGGUUUAAACGGGUCAGACAUCUAAAACCCGUAUCCGACCCAAUUAAUAAACAGGUUAAACGGGUCGACCUGUUUACGACCCGAACCUAUUUAGGCCAAACCCAAACCUGUUUAUGGCGGGUCGAACACGGGUCGGGUUGGCGGGUCGGGUCAUAUUUUGCCACCCCUACAAACAAUUCUUGGAGCAGGAGCUAACCAGACACGCACUGAACCACGCCCUGCUCUCUCUUUCUCUCUCUCGCGUUGGGACGAUCCUCUGCGAGUUUACGCUUGCGCUGGAGAAAACAUCUCCGUAAGUUAGAAAUCCUCUUCAUGUCUUAUGCUCCAAUAUUUCCCCAACUGGUUUUUGAUCUAAUUUGAUCUUUCUUUUGACCUUCUUCCCCUUUAAGUUUGGUCACGGCAGAAACCCUAGAUUGUGGUGAAAAUAGAUAUCAAAAUAAUUGGUAUCAACUCGUGGUGAUUUCUUCUUUCUCUCUAUAUUUGCAGUACGAUCAUUGAUGUUAUUCUAAUGGAUG
rnacentral:lncRNA from 1 species